GGUCUCUGAACACUCUCUUACACACACUGGGAUUACAAUGCUAUUGUAAUGAGUGGGGGUCUCGGAACACUCUCUUACACACACUGGGAUUACAAUGCUAUUGUAAUGAGUGGGGGUCUCUGAACACUCUCUUACACACACUGGGAUUACAAUGCUAUUGUAAUGAGUGGGGGUCUCGGAACACUCUCUUACACACACUGGGAUUACAAUGCUAUUGUAAUGAGUGGGGGUCUCUGAACACUCUCUUACACACACUGGGAUUACAAUGCUAUUGUAAUGAGUGGGGGUCACUGAACACUCUCUUACACACACUGGGAUUACAAUGCUAUUGUACUGAGUGGGGGUCUCUGAAACUUUAUCACAUACUG